rnacentral:tRNA from 2 species
GGAGAGGUGGCUGAGUGGUUGAAAGUACCCGCUUGGAAAGCGGGCGUAGGGAAACCUACCGGGGGUUCGAAUCCCCCCCUCUCCGCCA